CUAUUUCAGAAAUAUACAAAUGAGUGGGUUUUCUCUGAGUAAUCUCUUCUAUUUUCUUCUGAUUUGAAAAUCUCCCUAGUGACCUGUCAUGAAGAGCUAAUGGCACAACCCUCUGCCUUUGAUUCCAAAUGCAAGCCUAGUGAACACAGCAUGACUGGAAUCCCAAAGUCAUUAUUUUUAUCUCUAAGCAGAUUGCUUCUCGUAGCACACAGGGAGAAAACAGAAAGCUUUUUACAAUAGAAGAGAAGAAGAGAAAAUAUAGGAGUUAAAUAUAUCUUUAUUUAUUACAAGUUUACAUCACACUUGGGAAGAGCUUUAGGUAGAAAACACAAGAAAAAAUAAUUUUUGUAUAUGAGAUCUAGUCAUAUAAUAUAAAUACAUAGUAUAUGUGAAGCAUUAGCAUACCUAUCAUUUUAAUACAAAUAAUAAGAAUGAUUUUUAUGAGUGAUAUUUUUGGCACUCAAAUAUUUAUUGAUUGAUUUUAGCCUGAAAAGAAAUUCAGUUUAGUUUAAGAGUUAGCCAGUUGGGUUUUGUUUUUUUUUUUAAGACCAUGUAUUUCACUAUGACGUUAGUUGCUACAGUCCAAAUCACAGAAUUUUAGGAAUCCUAUUGGAAUUGGAAAGGAUCAAGGGGAAACAAUACCCUCUGUCAAACUGGACAGUGAAUCUCAGUCCUUGUAGGUCACAGGUUAGCCCACAGUCCCCACGCUCUGAACAGAGCACACAUUUGUAACCAAGCUCUAGGUGACUCUAGAGGACUUGGAGCACAAUAGAGACCUGGAUUGAAGUAUGCUCUUGUGAGGAGAGCUUUCCAAGGAUCAGGCUUGAAUUGAGCCAUCUUUUCACCUUAUUACCCUUUCAUCCUCAGUAAGAAAUUGGACUAAUCUGGAUCCCUACCUUAGCAUGGACUGGAAAGCACCAAAAUUGACUAUAGUAUUGUUUUCCCAGUAGCCAGGGAGUGGCUACUUCAGAAUCAAAGAGAAGAGGAGAAGUCUAUUUACCAUGCAGAUUCGUGGGCCCCAUCCCAGACUUACUGAAUCAGCAGAACUGAGGAUGUUUCUGAAGAGGGUCCACUUUCAGGAGCUCUCUAGGUAAAAAAAUGUUCCAAAAACUACUUUUUCAGCUGGAUUCUCUGCUGUUUCCUUGGUAGCCCUGAAAAUUCUACUGUAUUGACAGCUCCAAGGGAUCCAAGAUGAGUCACCAUUGUUUCAUAGUCAAUGAACAAGACCUGGCCUUCCUUCUAAUCCAUUGCCAAAAACAGCAUUUCCUGCUGUAUAUUGUUGUGUUUGAGGUAGAAGGAAGUUACCACCUAGAGGCAAACCUCUCAAAAGCAGCAAGUCACCCUGACAGCAGCAGACUUAAGGAAGGGCUCAAAGAUCUCUGUGAGGCGGCCAUCAAUACCCAAAGCAAGAUGGAGAAGACAUUGUUCUCCCAACAGCUGGCCUGGAAUUCCUCUUAGGGACAGUUUUCUUUGGAGGGGUUGACUCUCUGUGGUAUGACUGUCAGCUGCCCCCUAGUUUCCAUGAAGGAGAACUGAAGAGGAGAAUAAAAACUUGCAGCUCUCAGGAGAGCAACCUUAGAGAAAUGGGAGUGAGAAGGAAAGGUGGGAAGGGAAAAACAAAACUCAGAUAAUGUAGCUUGAACAUUUGUCUACUCCAACUCUCAUGUUAAAAUUUAACCUGCAAUAUUGGAGGUGGGGCCUAGUAGGAGGUGUCUGGGUCAUGGCAGCAGAUCCUUCAUGAAUGGCUUGGUGCCACACUGGAAGUAAUGAGUGAGUUACUGCACUAUUAGUUCCCACAAGAGCUGAUUUUUUUUUUUAAAGCUGGGCCCCCUCUCUGCCCAUGUGAUCAGCACACACUGGCUCCCCUUCACCUUCUGCCAUGAGUGGAAGCAGCCUGAAACCCUCAGCAGAUGCAGAUGCCAAUGCCAUGCUUCUUAUGCAGCCUGCAGAAUAGGCCAAAUAAAGUUCCUUUAUUUAUCAAUUAGCCUCAUGUCUUCCUUUAUAGCAACACAAAUCGACUGACAUAGGAUCAAAAUAAAAAUAAUAAUUUCAUUCUUAUAGUAAACCUCUGACACAGGUACUAUUAUUAUUCCUACUUUAUAAUUUAGGAAACUGAGGCACAGAAAGGUUAAGUAGGGAAAUGUGUGUGUGCCAUAACCCUUCUCUAUGAUUUUCUUUUUUUCAGUCUUGUGCUGUCAUCCAGGCUGGAGUGCAAUGGCACAAUGUUGGCUCACUGCAACCUCCACCUCUCAGGUUCAAGUUAUUCUCCUGCCCUCAGCCUCCCAAGAAGCUAGGAUUACAGGUGCCCGCCACCACACCCAGCUAAUGUUUUUGUAUUUUUAGGGGAGAUGGGGUGUCAGCCAGGCUGGUCUCGAACUCCUGACCUCAAGUGAUCCACCUACCUCAGCCUCCAAAACUGCCAGGAUUACAGGCGUGAGCCACUGAGCCCAGCUCUUCCCUGUGAUUUUCUAUAUCGUCCCAAAACUUUACCAAAAUGUAUUAGAAUUAUGGGUGAGUUUGAUACUGUGGAUAUUUUUCUUCACAGCGUCCGUCCUGAGCUCCCUGUGUGGGUUGAUUUAGGGCAGAAAGAGGGCUGGAGCAUAUGUAGGCACAUGUCUGUCUGGGACAUGGGAGAUUUGAAAUGACAGCAUGCAUUAAACAGCAAGAAUAACCACCACCACGGACAGCUCAGAGGGAGGGUUACAUGUAUGAACUGUAAUUGGUUCAAUUGCUGGGAAACAGAAAGAAAUUUCUUAAAUUUUUCAGAAAUCCAAACUAAAGUAUCCCUAGAGUCACUGGAAGAAAUUUCAAUGGAUAGGAGAGCUCCAAAAGCUGUAAAGAAUCUACCCAGAUUCUCUUUCACCUUCCACUGGGGUUCACUAAAGCGAUCUGCUUGAGACCAGGCUGUCAUGGAGGGAUAGAUUCUUUUGUUCUUCCCCUUUUCACAGUUGUUGUUAUCACACUUUACCAAAAAAAGCUUAUCUCCCAUCCCUUUCAAGAAUUCAGAUGGUGCAUUGUUCAGGGUAUAAAAGUCUCCCAGGACAAAAGACACUAUUCAAAAUACAGUAACCAUCUCUAGCACAAUGAAAAUUGACGUAUAAGGUCAUUAGCCAUUGACGCUCCACCUCUGCAGCAGACUUACCCCUACUUUUCACUGAUGUCACAACAGGCCUGCAUUUUAGGACACUGAAAUUUUUAGAUUUCAUAAAAGGCUUGUAAUAAAUUAAGUUGCUGUUGCAAAAGGGGAUUAUUCCUAAUACUUGUGUGGCAUCAGGGCUGGCAAACGACAGCCUGCAGGCAACCCCUCCCACAAAACAAAGGAGAAAAAAAAAAACAAAAAACUGUUUUUUAAAAAAU
rnacentral:lncRNA from 1 species